CACUGGCACAUGUGAUGGCAGGGAUUGAAUUUCGGACCUUAUGUUUCAGAGUUCAAUGCUUUACCCACUAAGAAACCUCCUGCGGUGCACCAUACUUUUUUUUUUAAUAAAGUAUCUUUAUUUAAGAUUUCCAGAAAGCAACUAAAAUAGUUUCUCUCUCUUUUUUAAUGUUUUCCCUUUUUUAAAAUUGCCACCAGGAUUAUCUCUGGACUCAAUAAUGGCACUACAAAUUCACCACUCCUGGCAGCCAUCUUUCACUCUUUUUUUUUUUUUUCUUUUCUAUUUGAUAAGACAGAUAGAGAUUGAGAGGAGAGGAGGAAAUACAGAGGGAAAGAAAGACACUUGAAGCGCUGAUUCACCAUUUGUGAAGCAUCCCCAGUGCAGCACCAGAGAAUGAAUUCAAAGCCAUACACAAGUAAAAGAGAUGCCACAGCUAA